rnacentral:misc_RNA from 1 species
UGUACACACCGCCCGUCACACCAUGGGAGUUGGCCACGCCCGAAGCCGUUACUCCAACCUUUCGAGGAGGAGGAUGUCGAAGGCAGGGCUGAUGACUGGGGUGAAGUCGUAACAAGGUAGCCGUACCGGAAGGUGUGGCUGGAUCACCUCCUUUAAGGGAGACCUACUUCAUUAGAACCGAACCCAAGUAUAAAAGGUUUAAUGUAAGUCAUCCCAAGGUCGAGCGAGGUUACUCAAGACUUUCAAGCUAUUGCUAGGGCCAGGAUAAGGGCUAUUAGCUCAGGUGGUUAGAGCGCACCCCUGAUAAGGGUGAGGUCCCUGGUUCGAGUCCAGGAUGGCCCACUCGUGGGGGUAUAGCUCAGUUGGUAGAGCGCCUGCUUUGCAAGCAGGAUGUCAGCGGUUCGAGUCCGCUUACCUCCACCAGAUGGCAAUGAGAUUAACGUUGAAAGUGAGACAGUAGCAAAUUGCUCAUUUGUGAGUAAUCUGCUGAGGUCUAUUACUUCAGCGCCAGAACCUUGAAAACUGCAUAGCAAAAUAGAAAGAGCUCUGUCAGGUAGUUUGAGUACGGUUUGAUAGCUAGGCAAUUGUUGAAAGACGAAUGUUUAGUGAAUUGAACCGACGAGACACAAAAGAGACACCAAUGUUAUUUGUGGUCAAGCUAUGAAGGGCUCACGGUGGAUACCUAGGCACACAGAG